rnacentral:rRNA from 1 species
UGGGGAAUUUUGGACAAUGGGCGAAAGCCUGAUCCAGCAAUGCCGCGUGUGUGAAGAAGGCCUUCGGGUUGUAAAGCACUUUUGUCCGGAAAGAAAUCCUUGGCUCUAAUACAGUCGGGGGAUGACGGUACCGGAAGAAUAAGCACCGGCUAACUACGUGCCAGCAGCCGCGGUAAUACGUAGGGUGCAAGCGUUAAUCGGAAUUACUGGGCGUAAAGCGUGCGCAGGCGGUUUGCUAAGACCGAUGUGAAAUCCCCGGGCUCAACCUGGGAACUGCAUUGGUGACUGGCAGGCUAGAGUAUGGCAGAGGGGGGUAGAAUUCCACGUGUAGCAGUGAAAUGCGUAGAGAUGUGGAGGAAUACCGAUGGCGAAGGCAGCCCCCUGGGCCAAUACUGACGCUCAUGCACGAAAGCGUGGGGAGCAAACAGGAUUAGAUACCCUGGUAGUCCACGCCCUAAACGAUGUCAACUAGUUGUCGGGGAUUCAUUUCCUUAGUAACGUAGCUAACGCGUGAAGUUGACCGCCUGGGGAGUACGGUCGCAAGAUUAAAACUUAAAGGAAUUGACGGGGUCAUAGCUGUUUCCU